rnacentral:miRNA from 2 species
UGACCGUAAUCCCGUUCACAA